GGCUUAGCUAUUAUGAAUCAUCAUGCUGUAAACAUGGUCAUUCUGGAGCAUAUUGUUUAAUUCACACAUAUCAAUGUCUUCAAAAAUCUUCAGUAAAAUAUAAAUGAAGUCAACAUCAUAUCAAAAAGAUCAUACAUCAUGAUCAGAUCCUUUGUGUUAUGAAAGCCCCACGUGUGCAUUUCUCUAAAUGAAAGUCUCCUGAACUUAAACCCAUGGACAUUUUAAAGAAAAUGCAGUAAGCCAAUGCUUCCUUGGCUAAAAACGUGUCUGUGCUCUGCAAACAAUGAACAGAACCCAGGAAGGGAGAUGCAGACCGCCUGCUGAGCCAGUCCUAGUUCUCUUCCCUGGAAAUCUUGUCCUUGCACAGAACUUCUGGAAACCAAUAAAAGAAAACUAAUGUGCUACCCAGAGCAGAGAAAAUGGAAAUCUGCUGAGUUAAUAUUGUGGGUCAUAAAAGUCACUCAAAGAGAAUUCUUUCAAUAAGGUGCCUACCAUAGUGGUUAUAUAAUUCUUCCAUGAAACUUACUUUUCUCUUUCUGAAAAGAAGUUUUGUUUUUUCUCUCAAAGAAUAAUGGUACUGCUUAACAUCCCCAGAACACAAUGUGAAUGAGCUUUUAAAAUUUUAUUCUAAUUACAAGAGAAAUAUAUUCUGAGUAUAGAAGAUGAGGAACAUAGAGAAAACCCUGAAGGAAUCAAACAACCCUAUUGUGAGAUAAAACUCAGGUAACAUUUUGGGAUAUUUAACAAUGUCUAUUGCCUUGACGCCAAAAAGUCGGCAUUAUUGUCGAACAUUAUUAUUAUUAAAGUUUGGAUGUAUUUCAUUUGAAUGAUGGCUAUAAAUAAAUUUUAAGCAGAAAGCAAAAAUGACUUUUCUUUUGAUUCCAGGGCCUUCUCAUUAAACUACAUCCUCAAUCCUUUCUUGUUUUCUUAUUUUGAGUCAGAGCCUUGCUAAACUGCCAUGCUGUUUAAAUUGGACUCAAAACAUGCAAUCCUCCUGCCUUACCCUUCCAAAAUAUUGGAAUUACAGGCAUGCAUUGGAAUCACAGGCAUUUAAAUUUUAAAACAGAUACAGCAACACCUGUAAAGAACAGUUGGGCAUUAUGCUCUUGAAAUUUUUGAAAAACUAGAUGCUUAGUUAAUGCUUCCUUUACUUAAAAUAUUUUAGUCUCUGUGUUGGAAUUGCCCUCAAAACUGGUAUAUGAGCCAAAACACAAAAGCAUCUUGUCAUUUUAUAGCCUAAAUGCUUCUUUAAAACCAGUUCUUUUUCUUGUCCUUCCCUACUCCCUCUUUUACAUAUUUGAUUUGUUUUUCAGGUCAUCUUCACCUGGAGAAGCAAAGCAGAGCUAUUUUCAGAUCAGUUGUGAAGAUAGGCUCAGCUUCAGCUAUUUCUACUGAUGGGAAAUGCUAUCUUGCAUAAAUAUUCCAUAAUUAUAUGCUAGUCAUUGUAUCCAGACUGUGCAGUAUGUCUGUUCCUCUCACAUUUGCAGAAGAGCAGCUCAGCAGCUACAAAACUGACAAAUUCAAAAUGUAGUUUUUAGUAACCUAAUGAUGGAGGUAAACUUUUCACCUUCAGCUUUUUCUCCUUUGGAGGUUAGUCAUUUCAAGCACAGAAGUUGCAAGAUUUCUUUGGAAGACUGAAGAUGCAGGGAAGU
ensembl:lncRNA